rnacentral:rRNA from 1 species
AUUGAACGCUGGCGGCAGGCCUAACACAUGCAAGUCGAGCGAGCGGCGGACGGGUGAGUAAUGUAUGGGGACUGCCCGAUAGAGGGGGAUAACUACUGGAAACGGUAGCUAAUACCGCAUACUAUCGGAUAACCCAUAUGGAAUUAGAUGGUAGGUGAGGUAAUGGCUCACCUAGGCGACGAUACCUAGCUGGUGUGAGAGGAGGAUCAGCAACACUGGGACAGAGACACGGUCCAGACUCCAACGGAGGCAGCAGUGGGGAAUAUUGCACAAUGGGGGCAAGCCUGAUGCAGCCAAUCCGCGUGUAUGAAGAAGGCCCUAGGUUUGUAAAGUACUUUCAGUCGGGAGGCGUUAACGACAGAAGAAGCACCGGCUAACUCCGUGCCAGCAGCCGCGGUAAUUC